CCGCGGUAAUACGAAGGGGGCUAGCGUUGCUCGGAAUUACUGGGCGUAAAGCGUGCGCAGGCGGUUCGGAAAGAAAGAUGUGAAAUCCCAGGGCUCAACCUUGGAACUGCAUUUUUAACUCCCGGACUAGAGUAUGUCAGAGGGGGGUGGAAUUCCACGUGUAGCAGUGAAAUGCGUAGAGAUGUGGAGGAACACCGAUGGCGAAGGCAGCCCCCUGGGAUAAUACUGACGCUCAGGCACGAAAGCGUGGGUAGCAAACAGG
rnacentral:rRNA from 1 species